GCGAACCGGGGGAACUGAAACAUCUAAGUACCCCGAGGAAAAGAAAUCAACCGAGAUUCCCCCAGUAGCGGCGAGCGAACGGGGAGCAGCCCAGAGUCUGAAUCAGCUUGUGUGUUAGUGGAACGGUCUGGAAAGUCCGACGGUACAGGGUGAUAGUCCCGUACACCAAAAUGCACAGGCUGUGAACUCGAAGAGUAGGGCGGGACACGUGGUAUCCUGUCUGAAUAUGGGGGGACCAUCCUCCAAGGCUAAAUACUCCUGACUGACCGAUAGUGAACCAGUACCGUGAGGGAAAGGCGAAAAGAACCCCGGCGAGGGGAGUGAAAAAGAACCUGAAACCGUGUACGUACAAGCAGUGGGAGCACCUUCGGGUGUGACUGCGUACCUUUUGUAUAAUGGGUCAGCGACUUAUAUUCUGUAGCAAGGUUAACCGUAUAGGGGAGCCGCAGGGAAACCGAGUCUUAACUGGGCGUUAAGUUGCAGGGUAUAGACCCGAAACCCGGUGAUCUAGCCAUGGGCAGGUUGAAGGUUGGGUAACACUAACUGGAGGACCGAACCGACUAAUGUUGAAAAAUUAGCGGAUGACUUGUGGCUGGGGGUGAAAGGCCAAUCAAACCGGGAGAUAGCUGGUUCUCCCCGAAAGCUAUUUAGGUAGCGCCUCGUGAACUCAUCUUCGGGGGUAGAGCACUGUUUCGGCUAGGGGGUCAUCCCGACUUACCAACCCGAUGCAAACUACGAAUACCGAAGAAUGUUAUCACGGGAGACACACGGCGGGUGCUAACGUCCGUCGUGAAGAGGGAAACAACCCAGACCGCCAGCUAAGGUCCCAAAGUCAUGGUUAAGUGGGAAACGAUGUGGGAAGGCACAGACAGCCAGGAUGUUGGCUUAGAAGCAGCCAUCAUUUAAAGAAAGCGUAAUAGCUCACUGGUCGAGUCGGCCUGCGCGGAAGAUGUAACGGGGCUAAACCAUGCACCGAAGCUGCGGCAGCGACACUAUGUGUUGUUGGGUAGGGGAGCGUUCUGUAAGCCUGCGAAGGUGUGCUGUGAGGCAUGCUGGAGGUAUCAGAAGUGCGAAUGCUGACAUAAGUAACGAUAAAGCGGGUGAAAAGCCCGCUCGCCGGAAGACCAAGGGUUCCUGUCCAACGUUAAUCGGGGCAGGGUGAGUCGACCCCUAAGGCGAGGCCGAAAGGCGUAGUCGAUGGGAAACAGGUUAAUAUUCCUGUACUUGGUGUUACUGCGAAGGGGGGACGGAGAAGGCUAUGUUAGCCGGGCGACGGUUGUCCCGGUUUAAGCAUGUAGGCUGGUUGUCCAGGCAAAUCCGGAUAAUCAAGGCUGAGGUGUGAUGACGAGGCACUACGGUGCUGAAGUAACAAAUGCCCUGCUUCCAGGAAAAGCCUCUAAGCAUCAGGUAACAUCAAAUCGUACCCCAAACCGACACAGGUGGUCAGGUAGAGAAUACCAAGGCGCUUGAGAGAACUCGGGUGAAGGAACUAGGCAAAAUGGUGCCGUAACUUCGGGAGAAGGCACGCUGGUGUGUAGGUGAAGCCCCUGCGGGUGGAGCUGAGACCAGUCGAAGAUACCAGCUGGCUGCAACUGUUUAUUAAAAACACAGCACUGUGCAAACACGAAAGUGGACGUAUACGGUGUGACGCCUGCCCGGUGCCGGAAGGUUAAUUGAUGGGGUUAUCCGUAAGGAGAAGCUCUUGAUCGAAGCCCCGGUAAACGGCGGCCGUAACUAUAACGGUCCUAAGGUAGCGAAAUUCCUUGUCGGGUAAGUUCCGACCUGCACGAAUGGCGUAAUGAUGGCCAGGCUGUCUCCACCCGAGACUCAGUGAAAUUGAACUCGCUGUGAAGAUGCAGUGUACCCGCGGCAAGACGGAAAGACCCCGUGAACCUUUACUAUAGCUUGACACUGAACAUUGAGCCUUGAUGUGUAGGAUAGGUGGGAGGCUUUGAAGCGUGGACGCCAGUCUGCGUGGAGCCAACCUUGAAAUACCACCCUUUAAUGUUUGAUGUUCUAACGUUGGCCCCUUACCGGGGUUGCGGACAGUGUCUGGUGGGUAGUUUGACUGGGGCGGUCUCCUCCCAAAGCGUAACGGAGGAGCACGAAGGUUAGCUAAUCCUGGUCGGACAUCAGGAGGUUAGUGCAAUGGCAUAAGCUAGCUUGACUGCGAGCGUGACGGCGCGAGCAGGUGCGAAAGCAGGUCAUAGUGAUCCGGUGGUUCUGAAUGGAAGGGCCAUCGCUCAACGGAUAAAAGGUACUCCGGGGAUAACAGGCUGAUACCGCCCAAGAGUUCAUAUCGACGGCGGUGUUUGGCACCUCGAUGUCGGCUCAUCACAUCCUGGGGCUGAAGUAGGUCCCAAGGGUAUGGCUGUUCGCCAUUUAAAGUGGUACGCGAGCUGGGUUUAGAACGUCGUGAGACAGUUCGGUCCCUAUCUGCCGUGGGCGCUGGAGAAUUGAGGGGGGCUGCUCCUAGUACGAGAGGACCGGAGUGGACGCAUCACUGGUGUUCGGGUUGUCAUGCCAAUGGCACUGCCCGGUAGCUAAAUGCGGAAGAGAUAAGUGCUGAAAGCAUCUAAGCACGAAACUUGCCCCGAGAUGAGUUCUCCCUGAGACUUUAAGUCUCCUGAAGGAACGUU
rnacentral:rRNA from 1 species